AUUGAACGCUGGCGGCAGGCCUAACACAUGCAAGUCGAGCGAUCGGCGGACGGGUGAGUAAUGUAUGGGGACUGCCCGAUAGAGGGGGAUAACUACUGGAAACUGUGGCUAAUACCGCAUACUAUCGGAUAACCCAUAUGGGAUUAGCUAGUAGGUGGGGUAAAGUCUCACCUAGGCGACGAUCUCUAGCUGGUCUGAGAGGAUGAUCAGCCACACUGGGACUGAGACAGAACCCAGGCUCCUACGGAGGCAGAAGUGGGGAAUAUUGCCCAAUGGGCGCAAGCCUGAUACAGCCGUGCCGCGUGUAUGAAGAAGGCCUUAGAGUUGUAAAGUACUUUCAGCGGGGAGGCGUUACCAGCAGAAGAAGCUACGGGUGACUCCGUGCAAGCAGCCGCGGUAAUAC
rnacentral:rRNA from 1 species